GACGUAGGGCGCAAGCGUUGUCCGGAUUUAUUGGGCGUAAAGAGCUCGUAGGCGGCUUGUUGCGUCGACCGUGAAAACCCGUGGCUCAACUGCGGGCUUGCGGUCGAUACGGGCGGGCUAGAGUUCGGUAGGGGAGACUGGAAUUCCUGGUGUAGCGGUGAAAUGCGCAGAUAUCAGGAGGAACACCGGUGGCGAAGGCGGGUCUCUGGACCGAGACUGACGCUGAGGCGCGAAAGCGUGGGGAGCAAACAGG
rnacentral:rRNA from 1 species